GAACGCUAGCGACAGGCUUAACACAUGCAAGUCGAGGGGCAUCAUGAGGUAGCAAUACCUUGAUGGCGACCGGCGCACGGGUGAGUAACGCGUAUGCAACCUGCCGAUACCGGGGUAUAGCCCAUGGAAACGUGGAUUAACACCCCAUAGUACUUUUAUCCUGCAUGGGAUGUGAGUUAAAUGUUCAAGGUAUCGGAUGGGCAUGCGUCCUAUUAGUUAGUUGGCGGGGUAACAGCCCACCAAGACGAUGAUAGGUAGGGGUUCUGAGAGGAAGGUCCCCCACAUUGGAACUGAGACACGGUCCAAACUCCUACGGGAGGCAGCAGUGAGGAAUAUUGGUCAAUGGACGAGAGUCUGAACCAGCCAAGUCGCGUGAGGGAAGACUGCCCUAUGGGUUGUAAACCUCUUUUAUAAGGGAAGAAUAAGUUCUACGUGUAGAAUGAUGCCUGUACCUUAUGAAUAAGCAUCGGCUAACUCCGUGCCAGCAGCCGCGGUAAUACGGAGGAUGCGAGCGUUAUCCGGAUUUAUUGGGUUUAAAGGGUGCGUAGGCGGUUUAUUAAGUUAGUGGUUAAAUAUUUGAGCUAAACUCAAUUGUGCCAUUAAUACUGGUAAACUGGAGUACAGACGAGGUAGGCGGAAUAAGUUAAGUAGCGGUGAAAUGCAUAGAUAUAACUUAGAACUCCGAUAGCGAAGGCAGCUUACCAGACUGUAACUGACGCUGAUGCACGAGAGCGUGGGUAGCAAACAGGAUUAGAUACCCUGGUAGUCCACGCCGUAAACGAUGCUCACUGGUUCUGUGCGAUAUAUUGUACGGGAUUAAGCGAAAGUAUUAAGUGAGCCACCUGGGGAGUACGUCGGCAACGAUGAAACUCAAAGGAAUUGACGGGGGCCCGCACAAGCGGAGGAACAUGUGGUUUAAUUCGAUGAUACGCGAGGAACCUUACCUGGGUUUAAAUGGGAAAUGUCGUAUUUGGAAACAGAUAUUCUCUUCGGAGCGUUUUUCAAGGUGCUGCAUGGUUGUCGUCAGCUCGUGCCGUGAGGU
rnacentral:rRNA from 1 species